GUAACCUCACAGAGAGAAGCUGUGAGGCUCUUUCCUCAAUUCUAAGUUCUCAGUCCUCCAGACUGAGAGAGCUGGACAUGAGUAACAACAACCUACAGGACUCAGGAGUGAAGCUGCUUUGUGUUGGACUUGGGAGUCCACACUGUGUGCUGGAAACUCUCAGGCUGUCAGGCUGUCAGAUCACAGGAACAGGCUUCCCCUCUCUGGACACAGCUGUGCGCUCCAAUCCCUCCUAUUUGAAAGAGCUGGACUUGAGCUAUAAUCAUCCAGGAGACUCAGGAAUGAAGCUUUUGUCUGAUCUAAAGAAGGAUCCACAUGUGAAACUGGACAUACUCUGUGUGGAGCCUCAAGGAGUCCAGUGGAUGAGACCAGGUCUAAGAAAAUGUAAGUGUGUUUUUGAUUUACUAGCUGUAUUUACAUCAUUUUUUCACACAUUAUAUGUAUCUCUGCUAAAUAUCUUUUAUCAUAUAUUUUAUAAAAAAUUGUUUCAGUUAUUUAAUUCCACAACUAAAAACCCAUUUUUGAUAAACUCUUAAAACAUCACAAAGUUUUGCAUACUGGUUUUUCUUCUUCAUAAACUAACGUGAAAACCAAUUAAUCCCUUUCUUCAUUAUCUGGUGAAGAAACGUGGCCACAUAGUCAACUAGAAUUUUCUAUUCAGAUAUAAUUUUGCUAGUGGUAAGAUUGGCAUGGCUAGAGGAACAGCUGUAACAGCGCCAACCUCGUGAUUAGUUUAUAAUAUUUGGUGCAAAAUCAAAGUUACCAGA